UACAGAGGUCCCGAGCGUUGUUCGGAAUCACUGGGCGUAAAGGGCGUGUAGGCGGUCCGCUAAGUCUGAUGUGAAAGCCCGGGGCUCACCCCCGGAAGGGCAUUGGAAACUGACGGACUCGAGUCCCGAAGAGGAGGGUGGAAUUCCUGGUGUAGCGGUGAAAUGCGUAGAUAUCAGGAGGAACACCGGUGGCGAAGGCGGCCCUCUGGACGGUGACUGACGCUGAGACGCGAAAGCGUGGGGAGCAAACAGG
rnacentral:rRNA from 1 species